rnacentral:rRNA from 1 species
GAUGAACGCUGGCGGCGUGCCUAAUACAUGCAAGUCGAGCGAACGGACGAGAAGCUUGCUUCUCUGAUGUUAGCGGCGGACGGGUGAGUAACACGUGGAUAACCUACCUAUAAGACUGGGAUAACUUCGGGAAACCGUAGCUAAUACCGGAUAAUAUUUUGAACCGCAUGGUUCAAAGGUGAAAGACGGUCUUGCUGUCACUUAUAGAUGGAUCCGCGCUGCAUUAGCUAGUUGGUAAGGUAACGGCUUACCAAGGCAACGAUGCAUAGCCGACCUGAGAGGGUGAUCGGCCGCACUGGAACUGAGACACGGUCCAGAAUCCUACGGGAGGCAGCAGUAGGGAAUCUUCCGCAAUGGGCGAAAGCCUGACGGAGCAACGCCGCGAGAGUGAUGAAGGUCUUCGGAUCGUAAAACUCUGUUAUUAGGGAAGAACAUAUGUGUAAGUAACUGUGCACAUCUUGACGGUACCUAAUCAGAAAGCCACGGCUAACUACGU